rnacentral:ncRNA from 1 species
GUCGGCAGAUCAGACGUAAAACAGUCGGGCCGCGUGGACGCGACCACGUAAAAAAGCGUA